ensembl:lncRNA
AGUGUCUCAUUCACUGAAAUGAACACGGCCAUUUUAGAAACCCAGCAAAGAUGGAAAUGGCUACAAAAAACAACGCCACGGUCCCCGGGUCUGACGCAAAGCCACAGACUGAGCAGCAGAAUCAUCUCCUUGCCUCACCUGCCUGCCUUCCUGCCCUUACACCACCACGGGAUCUUCACCGCUCAGGACAGCUGACACACACCACCAAACCCACCCGGACCGCACCAACUCUCCUUCAACGCUUCCAUCUCCCACCUGCACAUUCCAAGACUCCGACUCGACUCUUCUGCAGUGCAGUCUCCUGGAUGCUGGUCGCUGUCGUUAAGACCCACCGUGUCAGUCUGCAAGCCCACUCCUGGGAAACGCAACUACCUACUCUUCUCACCCGGGUCGUCCUGCCCAUAAUUCUCCUUUGGAUCGUUGGAAAUAUAAGGUCACAACUCUCCGCCACGCACCCUGAUAUUCAGCAAGAUGCUCACUCCGCCACCCUCCCAGAAACCUUCCUUCUCACGCGUGCAAGGUUUAAAUCUGGGACUCUCGGCCAUUUGACCUUAGAACUGAAGAAGCUUCUGGGAUGAGAGGUGAAACGUCUUCAAGCAACUUAAAGAAGUCCAGACGCUUUUCUUUGCAAAUUCCUUUGACUACGAUGAGCUGGAUGACUGAGAACCUUCACAGACUUUAUCCCGUCUUCUUUCUCUCACCCCAACCGGUCGCAGCAGAUGGCCCCGCCCCUCCCUGAGGGAGUUUUUCCUUCCCACUGUCGCCAAAGUGCUUGCUCAUAGGGGGUCAUAUGAUUGUUGGCUUUUUCUCUGUAUCUAUUAUUGAACGAUCUGCUGUACAAUAUAAAGCGCCUUGAGGCGACAGUUGUUGUGAUUUGGAGCUGUAUAAAUAAAAUUGAAUUGAAUAUAUUUCCUCAAUUCAUUGAAACUAUAUUUUUUUCAAGAGUACAGAACCACC